rnacentral:misc_RNA from 1 species
UGGCAACGGUGCCCUUAGAGCA